UACGUAGGGGGCGAGCGUUGUCCGGAAUUAUUGGGCGUAAAGAGCGUGUAGGCGGUUCGGUAAGUCUGCUGUGAAAUCCUGGGGCUCAACCCCGGGCGUGCAGCGGAUACUGCCGGGCUAGAGGGUGGUAGAGGCGAGUGGAAUUCCCGGUGUAGCGGUGAAAUGCGCAGAUAUCGGGAGGAACACCAGUAGCGAAGGCGGCUCGCUGGGCCACACCUGACGCUGAGACGCGAAAGCUAGGGGAGCGAACAGG
rnacentral:rRNA from 1 species